rnacentral:tRNA from 2 species
AUUCUUUUAGUAUAAAUAGUACAGCUGACUUCCAAUUAGCUAGUUUUGAUAACAUUCGAAAAAGAAUA